rnacentral:rRNA from 1 species
AUUGAACGCUGGCGGCAGGCCUAACACAUGCAAGUCGAACGAGUGGGGACGGGUGAGUAACACGUGGGUAACCUCCCAUCAGAGGGGAUAACACUUGGAAACAGGUGCUAAACCGAUAUUGAUGGACGGACCCGCGGUGCAUUAGCUAGUUGGUGAGGUAACGGCUCACCAAGGCCACGAUGGAUAGCCGACCUGAGAGGGUGUUCGGCCACACUGGGACUGAGACACGGCCCAGACUGCUACGUGAGGCAGCAGGAGUGAAUCUUCGGCAAUGGACGAAAGUCGGACCGAGCAACGCCGCGUGAGUGAAGAAGGUUUUCGGAUCGUAAAACUCUGUUAUUAGAGAAGCGGUAUCUAACCAGAAAGCCACGGCUAACUGCGUGCCAGCCGCCGCGGUAAUAC